CUACGGGACGCAGCAGUGGGGAAUAUUGGACAAUGGGGGAAACCCUGAUCCAGCAAUGCCGCGUGUGUGAAGAAGGCCUGCGGGUUGUAAAGCACUUUCGGUUGGGAGGACUGCUUCUAGCACUAAUAUUGUUGGAAGUUGACGUUACCUUCAGAAGAAGCACCGGCUAACUCCGUGCCAGCAGGCCGCGGUAAUACGGAGGGUGCAGGCGUUAAUCGGAAUUACUGGGCGUAAAGCGCGCGUAGGCGGCUAGAUCAGUCGGGUGUGAAAGCCCCGGGCUUAACCUGGGAACUGCAUCCGAUACUGUCUAGCUUGAGUACAGGAGAGGAGAGUGGAAUUCCACAUGUAGCGGUGAAAUGCGUAGAUAUGUGGAGGAACACCAAUGGCGAAGGCAGCUCUCUGGCCUGAUACUGACGCUGAGGUGCGAAAGCGUGGGGAGCAAACAGGAUUAGAUACCCUAGUAGUC
rnacentral:rRNA from 1 species